CCUUUAAUUAUUCUUCCCAUUUCAUUAUACUUAUAUUGCUGAGUUUAUCUCAGAUAUAGCAAUAAACGAGAUGUUUAAUAAAUAUUAUGGACCCGGGGGCAGUACCCGGCACCUCCACCAAAUAUACAAACAAGGGGGUGAAAUAGGAUCGACAGAUAUUGAAAGAUAUUUUCUUUUGCUCGGAACGGUUCCGACGUAACGGAACAAAAUUAUAACUGCAAACGACAAUAGUCGUGAGAUGGCUAUUGCUGCCUAGUCAGUAAUAGUAAUCACAGUGUAAAGUCCUUUGCUCGUCACACAGUGAAGGCGGGGAAGUGAUAUCCUGGCAACAGAACU
rnacentral:tmRNA from 1 species